rnacentral:rRNA from 1 species
UCCGUAGGUGAACCUGCGGAAGGAUCAUUAAUAGUGCCCUCUGAUGCAAAUCAUUGGGUUAGAUCUGCUCUCUUCGCAAGAAGAGGGUUUCCAUACACACCGUGAACUGUGGCUUCGGCCAUCACAAACUGUUAGUAAUGAAUGUAAUAUCAUAACAAAAACAAAACUUUUAACAACGGAUCUCUUGGCUCUCGCAUCGAUGAAGAACGCAGCGAAAUGCGAUAAGUAAUGUGAAUUGCAGAAUUCAGUGAAUCAUCGAAUCUUUGAACGCACCUUGCGCCCUUUGGUAUUCCGAAGGGCAUGCCUGUUUGAGUGUCAUUUGUACCCUCAAGCUUUGCUUGGUGUUGGGUGUUUGUCCUCUCCUUUGCGUUUGGACUCGCCUUAAAGCAAUUGGCAGCCAGUGUUUUGGUAUUGAAGCGCAGCACAAUUUGCGAUUCUAACCGACUACACUUGCGUCCAUAAGCCUUUUUAACUUUUGACCUCGGAUCAGGUUAGGGAUACCCGCUGAACUUAAGCAUAUCAAUAAGCGGAGGAAGUCGA